GACGAACGCUGGCGGCGUGCCUAAUACAUGCAAGUCGAACGAACUCUGGUAUUGAUUGGUGCUUGCAUCAUGAUUUACAUUUGAGUGAGUGGCGAACUGGUGAGUAACACGUGGGAAACCUGCCCAGAAGCGGGGGAUAACACCUGGAAACAGAUGCUAAUACCGCAUAACAACUUGGACCGCAUGGUCCGAGCUUGAAAGAUGGCUUCGGCUAUCACUUUUGGAUGGUCCCACGGCGUAUUAGCUAGAUGGUGGGGUAAUGGCUCACCAUGGAAAUGAUACGUAGCCGACCUGAGAGGGUAAACGGCCACAUUGGGACUGAGACACGGCCCAAACUCCUACGGGAGGCAGCAGUAGGGAAUCUUCCACAAUGGACGAAAGUCUGAUGGAGCAACGCCGCGUGAGUGAAGAAGGGUUUCGGCUCGUAAAACUCUGUUGUUAAAGAAGAACAUAUCUGAGAGUAACUGUUCAGGUAUUGACGGUAUUUAACCAGAAAGCCACGGCUAACUACGUGCCAGCCGCCGCCGUAA
rnacentral:rRNA from 1 species